UACAGAGGUCUCAACCGUUGUUCGGAUUCAUUGGGCGUAAAGGGUGCGUAGGCGGUCGGGUAAGUCGGAUGUGAAAUCUCAGGGCUCAACCCUGAAACUGCAUUCGAUACUGCCUGGCUAGGGUACUGGAGAGGAGACUGGAAUUUACGGUGUAGCAGUGAAAUGCGUAGAGAUCGUAAGGAAGACCAGUGGCGAAGGCGGGUCUCUGGACAGUUCCUGACGCUGAGGCACGAAGGCCAGGGGAGCAAACGGG
rnacentral:rRNA from 1 species